rnacentral:lncRNA from 1 species
GAUGCAUAGAGGUGCGGCAUUGUCCAAUCCCGAAGCUGAAAAUUCUUUGAUUGUUCGAUUGUCCACCUCCAUGUCUUUUUCUGCCUCCUCCUUUUCUUCAAAUUCAGAUUCAGAACUAGAACUAGGUGGACUAGGUUCUGGUACUUUCCUUUUCCUUCUCAAAGUUCGUUCAAAAUUGUCGUCAAACUCCGAUAUAUGUGCACGAACUGGUUGAGAACUACGAGUCAUAAACUAGUACCUGAAAUAAACAAAAUCAAAUAAAAUUAAAACUAAAAUUAAAACACACAAAAAAAAGAAAUAAAAAGAAACAAUGGGGAUUUAGCAAAGUUGCUAAUCCCCGGCAACGGCGCCAAAAUUUGAUGCGAAUAAUAUAAGCACACAAAUUAAACCCUC